CACGUGGGUAACCUGCCUGUAAGACUGGGAUAACUCCGGGAAACCGGGGCUAAUACCGGAUGGUUGUUUGAACCGCAUGGUUCAAACAUAAAAGGUGGCUUCGGCUACCACUUACAGAUGGACCCGCGGCGCAUUAGCUAGUUGGUGAGGUAACGGCUCACCAAGGCAACGAUGCGUAGCCGACCUGAGAGGGUGAUCGGCCACACUGGGACUGAGACACGGCCCAGACUCCUACGGGAGGCAGCAGUAGGGAAUCUUCCGCAAUGGACGAAAGUCUGACGGAGCAACGCCGCGUGAGUGAUGAAGGUUUUCGGAUCGUAAAGCUCUGUUGUUAGGGAAGAACAAGUACCGUUCGAAUAGGGCGGUACCUUGACGGUACCUAACCAGAAAGCCACGGCUAACUACGUGCCAGCAGCCGCGGUAAUACGUAGGUGGCAAGCGUUGUCCGGAAUUAUUGGGCGUAAAGGGCUCGCAGGCGGUUUCUUAAGUCUGAUGUGAAAGCCC
rnacentral:rRNA from 1 species